UACGUAGGGGGCUAGCGUUGUCCGGAAUCAUUGGGCGUAAAGGGUGCGUAGGCGGCGCGGUAAGUCGGGUGUGAAAUCUCGGAGCUUAACUCCGAAACUGCAUUCGAUACUGCCGUGCUUGAGGACUGGAGAGGAGACUGGAAUUUACGGUGUAGCGGUGAAAUGCGUAGAUAUCGUAAGGAAGACCAGUGGCGAAGGCGGGUCUCUGGACAGUUCCUGACACUGAGGCACGAAGGCCAGGGAGCAAACGGG
rnacentral:rRNA from 1 species